ensembl:processed_transcript
UUUGUUCCUUCAUGUGUGAGAUUAGGGUGAGUCCUCAGAGCUAGUGUGUGACAGACACUUGGAACCUGCUGUUUCCUGUGAAUUGAAAUGUUCCCUGGUGGGUUUGUCAGGAGCGAGAAGAGGCUCAAGACUCAGAAAGAUAAUGAAAGUUACAAGGCUUGCAAAGCUCAUAAAAGUUACAAGAUCCACCAGUAAUUGCUGGGGGAAGAAGAGAUUGUCCUCUGGCACUGAGCCCCAGUUUUGGAGGGACCAUUAGAGAUGUGGCUUCUAUGAGCUGAUCCUGAAUGAUCAGCACAAAGCAGUGUUAAAUACAGAAAUACAAAUUCGGAACACAGGUUCAAUGGCAUCACACAGUUGCCAGUUUCCCGAAGUUUCUCAGUUAAAAUGGUCGUCUACUGAAAUUAACAAGGUGCCAAUGACUCAUGGGAUUGUCAGGAGUAGAAAACAUUGGAAGAACUAAAACAGAAAGAAACAAACAGACCACCCCCAACCCUUGCCACAUCCCAAACAAAACAUCUCUUGGUGAGACACAAAUUGACCUGCACUUAAACAAUUUCAUGCUACUUGCAGCUGACUCUUUUCCUCUAAAGAAGGAAGUUGCAAACUAAAGAGACAUAUGAUACCUUCUUAUUUAACAACUUCUAGAAUGCCAAGAGAAUAGAGAUUAUCCCACCUGAUGUAUUCUCCAUAUGUGGACUGUCCCUGUUGAAAUGGUCAACCA